rnacentral:rRNA from 1 species
AGCGAACGCUGGCGGCAGGCCUAACACAUGCAAGUCGAACGAACCCUUCGGGGUUAGUGGCGGACGGGUGAGUAACACGUGGGAACGUGCCUUUAGGUUCGGAAUAACUCAGGGAAACUUGUGCUAAUACCGAAUGUGCCCUUCGGGGGAAAGAUUUAUCGCCUUUAGAGCGGCCCGCGUCUGAUUAGCUAGUUGGUGAGGUAAUGGCUCACCAAGGCUACGAUCAGUAGCUGGUCUGAGAGGAUGACCAGCCACAUUGGGACUGAGACACGGCCCAAACUCCUGCGGGAGGCAGCAGUGGGGAAUCUUGCGCAAUGGGCGAAAGCCUGACGCAGCCAUGCCGCGUGGAUGAUGAAGGUCUUAGGAUUGUAAAAUCCUUUCACCGGUGAAGAUAAUGACUGUAGCCGGAGAAGAAGCCUCGGCUAACUUCGUGCCAGCCGCCGCGGUAAGAC